AUCGAACGCUGGCGGAAUGCUUUACACAUGCAAGUCGAACGGCAGCACGGGUGCUUGCACCUGGUGGCGAGUGGCGAACGGGGGAGUAAUAUAUCGGAACGUAUGCAAUAAUGGGGGAUAACUAGCCGAAAGGUUAGCUAAUACCGCAUACGCCCUGAGGGGGAAAGCUGGGGAUCGUAAGACCUAGCGUUGAUGGAGCGGCGGAUAUCUGAUUAGCUAGUUGGUGGGGUAAGAGCCUACCAAGGCGACGAUCAGUAGCUGGUCUGAGAGGACGACCAGCCACACUGGAACUGAGACACGGUCCAGACUCCUACGGGAGGCAGCAGUGGGGAAUUUUGGACAAUGGGGGCAACCCUGAUCCAGGCAUUCCGCGUGAGUGAAGAAGGCCUUCGGGUUGUAAAGCUCUUUCGCAAGGGAAGAAAACUCGAUCUCUAAUAUAGGUUGAGGCUGACGGUACCUUGAUAAGAAGCACCGGCUAACUACGUGCCAGCAGCCGCGGUAA
rnacentral:rRNA from 1 species